GUUUAUGGCUAUACCUAGACAAAAACAGCACACCAGUUCCCGCUCGAUCACUGCAGUUAAGCGACCGAGGGUCUCGUUAGUAUUAUGGUUGGAGACAACAUGGGAAUCCGGGAUGCUGUAGGCU
rnacentral:rRNA from 1 species